rnacentral:rRNA from 1 species
UUCGCAAUGCCCGAAAGGGUGACGAAGCGACGCCUCGUGGGUGAGGAAGGCCUUCGGGUUGUAAAGCCCUGUCAGGAGUUAAGAAAUGUAAGUGCGCUAAUAUCGCAUUUAUUUGACGAAGGCUCCAAAGGAAGUCACGGCUAACUCUGUGCCAGCAGCCGCGGUAAUACAGAGGUGGCAAGCGUUGUUCGGAAUUAUUGGGCGUAAAGAGCACGUAGGUGGGUUUGCAAGUCAGAUGUGAAAGCCUCCUGUUCAACGGGAGAAUUGCAUCUGAAACUGCAGAUCUUGAGUGUAGGAGGGGAGAAUGGAACUUCUGGUGGAGCGGUGAAAUGCGUAGAUAUCAGAAGGAACGCCGGCGGCGAAAGCGAUUCUCUGGCCUAUUACUGACACUCAGGUGCGAAAGCUAGGGGAGCAAACGGGAUUAGAUACCCCGGUAGUCCUAGCCGUAAACGAUGGGCACUAAGUAGAGGGGUUUU